rnacentral:pre_miRNA from 1 species
UUAGCUCAUAUUUGUAUGGAAUGGGAUCGUUUGCGUACGUUUGCCGUUAAGGGCGCUGUUUCAACUGCAUACAAAAUUGGGUUA